rnacentral:lncRNA from 1 species
UAUAUAUAUAUAUAUAUAUAUAUAGAGUCCGGCUGCUAUGCUAUUAAUAGCACGAAGCACUUGGUACUACCAAGUUUUCCGCCGUUAGAUCUACCCUCUUGAUCAUUUUCACCCGUUAGAUCAUACUAUUCAACCAACCACCCACUCAACCCUACGGGGCCCACAUCAUCCUAACCGCACAUCUCUUAAUCCAAUGGCCAAAAACUUGGUAGCACCAAUGACUUGGUGCUAUUAAUAGCAUAGUAGCCUAGUUCAUAUAUAUAUAUAUAUAUAUAUAUAUAUAUAUAUUGAUUUUAAGGCAUUAAUAGUUAAAAA